rnacentral:rRNA from 1 species
UGGGGAAUUUUGGACAAUGGGGGAAACCCUGAUCCAGCCAUCCCGCGUGUGCGAUGAAGGCCUUCGGGUUGUAAAGCACUUUUGGCAGGAAAGAAACGUCAUGGGUUAAUACCCCGUGUAACUGACGGUACCUGCAGAAUAAGCACCGGCUAACUACGUGCCAGCAGCCGCGGUAAUACGUAGGGUGCAAGCGUUAAUCGGAAUUACUGGGCGUAAAGCGUGCGCAGGCGGUUCGGAAAGAAAGAUGUGAAAUCCCAGAGCUCAACUUUGGAACUGCAUUUUUAACUACCGGGCUAGGGUGUGUCAGAGGGAGGUGGAAUUCCGCGUGUAGCAGUGAAAUGCGUAGAUAUGCGGAGGAACACCGAUGGCGAAGGCAGCCUCCUGGGAUAACACUGACGCUCAUGCACGAAAGCGUGGGGAGCAAACAGG